UUGGAGGGCAAGUCUGGUGCCAGCAGCCGCGGUAAUUCCAGCUCCAAUAGCGUAUAUUAAAGUUGUUGCAGUUAAAAAGCUCGUAGUUGAACUUCGGGGUUUACUCAUUGGUCAGGCUUAAUGUCUGUACUGGUGAGAUGGAUCUCUACCUUCUGAGGAACUUUCAUGCCAUUUAUUUGGUGUGAUGGGAAAUCAGGAUUGUUACUUUGAAAAAUUAGAGUGUUUAAAGCAGGCUAACGUCUGAAUACAUUAGCAUGGAAUAAUGAAAUAGGACGGACUGA
rnacentral:rRNA from 1 species